UACAGAGGUGGCGAGCGUUGUUCGGAUUUACUGGGCGUAAAGGGUGCGUAGGUGGUGUGGUGUGUCGGGCGUGAAAUCCCACGGCUCAACUGUGGAACGCCGUCCGAAACUACCAUGCUAGAGUGCGGGAGGGGAGAGCGGAAUUCUCGGUGUAGCGGUGAAAUGUGUUGAUAUCGAGAGGAACACCGGUGGCGAAGGCGGCUCUCUGGAACGCAACUGACACUGAGGCACGAAAGAUGGGGGAG
rnacentral:rRNA from 1 species